ACUGGGGCGGGGGGGGUCCCUCAGCCUGGAUUGCAAGAGGGCCAGGCCAGGCUGAGGGACCUUACUGGUGCAGG
rnacentral:pre_miRNA from 1 species